GAUGAACGCUGGCGGCGUGCCUAAUACAUGCAAGUCGAGCGAACAGACGAGGAGCUUGCUCCUCUGACGUUAGCGGCGGACGGGUGAGUAACACGUGGAUAACCUACCUAUAAGACUGGGAUAACUUCGGGAAACCGGAGCUAAUACCGGAUAAUAUAUUGAACCGCAUGGUUCAAUAGUGAAAGACGGUUUUGCUGUCACUUAUAGAUGGAUCCGCGCCGCAUUAGCUAGUUGGUAAGGUAACGGCUUACCAAGGCAACGAUGCGUAGCCGACCUGAGAGGGUGAUCGGCCACACUGGAACUGAGACACGGUCCAGACUCCUACGGGAGGCAGCAGUAGGGAAUCUUCCGCAAUGGGCGAAAGGUUGACGGAGCAACGCCGCGUGAGUGAUGAAGGUCUUCGGAUCGUAAAACUCUGUUAUUAGGGAAGAACAAAUGUGUAAGUAACUAUGCACGUCUUGACGGUACCUAAUCAGAAAGCCACGGCUAACUACGUG
rnacentral:rRNA from 1 species